AUUGAACGCUGGCGGCAUGCCUUACACAUGCAAGUCGAACGGCAGCACGGGUGCUUGCACCUGGUGGCGAGUGGCGAACGGGUGAGUAAUACAUCGGAACAUGUCCUGUAGUGGGGGAUAGCCCGGCGAAAGCCGGAUUAAUACCGCAUACGAUCUACGGAUGAAAGCGGGGGACCUUCGGGCCUCGCGCUAUAGGGUUGGCCGAUAGCUGAUUAGCUAGUUGGUGGGGUAAGGGCCUACCAAGGCGACGAUCAGUAGCUGGUCUGAGAGGACGACCAGCCACACUGGGACUGAGGCACGGCCCAGACUCCUACGGGAGGCAGCAGUGGGGAAUUUUGGACAAUGGGCGAAAGCCUGAUCCAGCAAUGCCGCGUGUGUGAAGAAGGCCUUCGGGUUGUAAAGCACUUUUGUCCGGAAAGAAAUCCUUGGCUCUAAUACAGUCGGGGGAUGACGGUACCGGAAGAAUAAGCACCGGCUAACUACGUG
rnacentral:rRNA from 1 species